UGUCUCACCGAACGCUACGUCAGAAAGGCAGCGUGGAGUCCUGGAUACGUGCCGCGCAUGCGCAGUAACGUAGCAGCUGUUUGUAGUACAGUAUGGUGACACAGUUCUACGUAGCUUCCAGAGGACGAGUUCACGUGCAGGAUCGGGAUGAUUGACAGGUCGCCAUCUUUCCUGUUAGUGAGGAGAUAAAAGGAAAACGGCGUCAUGGCCUCAGGAAGAAGUUACCGUAGCGGUUCAGAAAAACGGAGGAAGAGAGACAGUCAGAGGUGUAGCAGCAGAAGGAAGGCUCCUUCUUCGCCUCUGGUUCCUGCAACAAGAGGGGGACACUCUCCUCCACCUUUAACUCCAGGGCCUGUCUUUGGGUGGAUCCUGCUGGACUAUCCAGCUCCUGUGGUCGCGGCCUCCUGGCUGCCCUCCAGAGAGCUGUUUCCUGUCUGCGCCGCCUCCCAGCCUGACUAAACUAAAUAUUUUAAUAUGUAGGUGUUGACAAACAUGCAGUUAUUGUGGUAUUUAUGUAUUUAUUUAUCAAUUUUACUGGUAAUUUAAGUUUGAUUGACUAAGUAUUCUAUGAAAAUGUUACCACCACUUCCUUUCUCCUCAGCGGAGCUGCUUUCAAAGUGAUUUUCCAAACACAUGAAGUUUCUGGACAAAGUAUCAGACCGGUAUCAGAUCGGUAUCAGACCGGUAUCAGAUCGGUAUCAGACCGGUAUCGGAUCGGUAUCAGACCGGUAUCAGAUCGGUAUCGCCGAUACUGGCUUGUAUUUUACUUGGUAUCGGAUCAGAAAGAAAGCGAGUGGCAUCGUACAUCACUACUCCAGUACUCCUGCUGGCAGCACGCGGUGUGACGGAAACCUACGAGCCUGCGUGCUCUAGUCUGGAGCUGCUCUUAAAGGGCCAGCGUCACUAAAAUACCCCACACAGUUAUCACAAUACCAGCUUUACAAGCAGAACGAAUGUGAACAGUUUACCAAACCAAGACUUGGUGGUUCACAUGUUGCAGCUGCAGAGCCGAAUGUCGCCAUGGCCAGGAAAGUGUCUCAGAAACAAGUCAUGGAAGGUGGAGAUUACUGGUUCUCCGGUCAGCACUGCAUCUCAGCUCUAGACCCCCAAACUCCCUUGGUGUUCCUCUGUUUGAUCGGGAGAGGAUGGAGCACAUCUGGCGGGUCCAGAAGAAGCAUGUGAAGAGCAUCCAAGAUCCACCAGGUGUUGCUCUCUGCACUAAAACUGGGAGCUGACCAAGGGAGGUGUGUGUCUGCCGGUGUUUAGGUGAACCAGAGGCUCAACUUCCUUGGAGUCUUUUCAUCUGCAGCUAAACCGCUUCAUAGCAGGUUCUAUUGUCUGAGACAUUCACUCAGUGCUUCGUCCCUUGGGUCCAUCUUCCUGAUGUGUUCAUGGAGCUUGUUUCGUCUUGGAUAGUGGCCCUGAUGCUCACUAGUCCUCAUCCUCCCUCUUUGUGCUUAGCGUAGAGUCUCUGGACACUGGAUGUGGGUGGAAGCCUCCACGCAUGGUGAACAACUUCCGUGUUUUAACAUCUGUGGUCUGAACUUCCUCCUUUGGCAGCUUAUUAUCCCAGCAGGGUGUCUUGUUGUUGCCAUCGAGCUGACUUCUAAGCACGUUGCAGGUAUUACAACAUGUACUAUAUAAAUAUAUAUAUUCAUUCGUUAUCUGUAGCACUUUGUCCAUUACGGGGAAGCUGGAGCCUGACCCAGCAUUUAACAGGUGAGAGGCAGGUACACCCUGGACAGGUCACCAGUCCAUCACAGGCCCAACACAGAAAGAGACAAACAACCUUUCACACACACACUGA